rnacentral:rRNA from 1 species
UACGUAGGGUGCGAGCGUUGUCCGGAAUUACUGGGCGUAAAGAGCUCGUAGGUGGUUUGUCGCGUUGUUCGUGAAAACUCACAGCUUAACUGUGGGCGUGCGGGCGAUACGGGCAGACUGGAGUACUGCAGGGGAGACUGGAAUUCCUGGUGGUAGCGGUGGAAUGCGCAGAUAUCAGGAGGAACACCGGUGGCGAAGGCGGGUCUCUGGGCAGUAACUGACGCUGAGGAGCGAAAGCGUGGGGAGCGAACAGG